ACCUGGCUGGCUCAGCUGUGAGAGCAUGUGACUCCGGAUCACGAGGUUAUGAGUUUGAGCCCCAUGUUGGAUG
rnacentral:tRNA from 1 species